UGAAAGAUCUGAAAUGAAACCAGACAUCUUUCAUUUAGCAGGCCACCACAAUCAAGCUCACACAUGGUCCAACAUAUAUUCAUGCUAAAUAACAAGAUAUAAUAGAUGAUGGUCACAAGACAUGAAAGGAUAAUGCACCAGUAGGUACGUGCGUCAUUUCACACUGAAAAACACAGACAGGUUCCGGUUCAGAAAGGGAGAAAGCCAAAACAAAAGUUCACAGCUAUUAAUCGCGACAAAGCGUAUGCACAGGAUAAUUGAGUAAGCGCAUUGUUGGAUCCUCCAGAUUUAAGCACCAAGCUCCUGCUGACCUGACCAUCAGUAAGUAACCUGUCAGGUGAGUUUACUACGUAAGCUUCUAUCACAAUUACAGAGGUGGUACAACUUUUAUAGAAAAACAAACAACCAAUGCACUCACCACCUCACUCCAUGUGUCGGCAUGUGCAAGAGCAACUCCAGAGAAGGUAACGGCCGGGUUCCUGCUACGACCUGCAUACAAGCGUCCAAAGAGUUAGAUUCAAUAGCAUAAGAAGGUAAACUCCCCUCUCGCCUCGCCCCCCUCGCGGGCGACACGGGGGGAUCCAACCUCUGCCGCCAGAGAGUCAUCCCGUGCCCGUCCUCCCCUCCGCCGCAGGUGGUCGGCGACGGGCUAAGCCCGUGCGUGCGACACGGUGGCGGAGGGCCUCUCCCCUCUCCCCCGGAUCCAUGGGUGGCGCGGGCGCCCAGAUCCGCGGAGGUGCGGCCCCCGCUUCGGUCCAAGGCAGCGCAGCGUCCCAGCGGCGACGUCUGUGGUGAUGCCGGUGGGAAUCGGCCGGUUGCAUAGGGGGCGCUGGUGGCCGGGCCGGUGACCCCAUGGCUAGGUGGCGGCGGGCCUGUUGGUCCGACUGGUUCCGGCCCGUCCUGGAUCUGGUGACUACCGGACGGCACGGGGGGUGGCGGCGGCCCGGCGUGGCCGGCGAUCUGGACGCGAUGGUGCCGGUGGCUCUUCGCUGGUUUGCCGGAGUUCCAGGGGUAUCAUCGUCUCCGACUCGUUAUGCUCCGGUUCGUGCUAGUCCCGGUCCAGGGAGACUGUCGUCAUCUCCCGGUGCUAGCUGCAUGGAUCUGGCGGUGGCGACUGGAUCCUUUUGGUCUAGUCUCCGACGGAGAAGGCGGCGAUCCGUGCACAAGAAGCUGAAUGGAGUUCUUCGAACAGAUCUGGGUGAAAACCUGCUCUUGGCUAGAUGCCAAAGCCGGCGGUGGCGGCGCUCUGCGGUGUAGUUCCCUUCUUGAAGGCAUCGCCGUGGAGAAGUUCUAGACCACUAUCUGCUACCUCUGGGGAAAACCCUAGAUCGAUAGAUCAGAAGAUGGCGGCGCGCUUGUGUCGUUUGCCCCCUUGGGGGUGUCAUUCUUGGAGGUGUACACGGACUCGAGGGACCAAUGGACGACGUCUUUGGUGGAGCGGUGCUUCAUCAUUCACAUUGAUGGUGACAGAUCUCGAUGGCAUGGCACCCUGGAGAUUAGGCAUCUGAUGUGCGAUGAUGGACUCGCGCAGGAGGGUGACGCUGUCUGGCGUCGACGGCAGCUAGACCGGACAAGGUAGAUGCAGCAGUACAGCUCUGAAGAUGGAUUCGUGGCAGGUGGCGGCGGCGGCCUCUCAGUGUGCGCCGGACCGGUGGGUGCCCCAUACCCGGCAGGCGUCCUGGUUGGGAUCUCAGGUCUUAGAUGUUAGGUUUGGCUGCGAGGUCUGUUUGGUAUUAGGCCCAGACUAUCAGCAUCCCUUCAUCAACUGGAUAGAAGUAGCGACAGAUGUUGCCUAGACGGUGGCUUCAGUUUUACUGUUGUACUAUUACUUUGUAAGAUCAUUUGUGCAUAAUAAUAAAGUGGCUGCAUGCAUCGUCCAGAUGCAGGGCUGGGGGUCUUCCUCCUUUUCAAGCAAAAAAAAAUACUUUCAGACUCAUAAGAUGAGGAAUUUUUUGUUUCUCGGUCACAGACCUAGCGAUGCAGUGUUAAGGAAUUCUUCGUCUUCAAGGAACAGCUGCAGAUUUUUUGAUUUCAGAAUGUGCUCGACAGCGGCACCGUAGAAGUCCAUAAAAGCUACAUAUUUUAACGACCUCCGCAAGCAAAGGGAUCUGCUCUGCUUUCUCGAAGAGCAGCCCUUGGGAUACCUCAUCUGCAAAGUUCGUCGCAAACUCCAACUUUUCCUUGUAGCCUGGUGCACGCUUGCUUUUCUGCAUGUAGAGUUUCGAGCUCUCCCUCCCCCACCGGAGUUUCCGUGUGCCCUUCACAUCAAGAACGUCCCCAGAGGAUAGCUUCACGUUGUAUCCCACCGUGAUUGGCUCGCUGGUCUCUAGCACCAUCACAUCGAGCAGGCAGGAAACAAUCUUGUGCCGCUCUUCAGCAGAAAUGUCGAGAGCAGGAUCGGCAAGAAAAGCAAGGACAAGUUUGAUCAUACCAACAUUGAUCACCUUGCAUCGAGCAGCUUUUGUUGGACUGACAUUUUCCAAUGUGAGUGAAUCAUUCUUCCCAACAGCUUUGGAUAUUGCCUGGACUCCAAUGCUACCGUGGAUGUUGUUCAGCUUUGCUCGAGACAUGGAAGGUAGGCUUGAAGAAGGAUACCAGAUGAAAAAUGACCGGUUAGGAAGCUUGUCGAACAAAUCCUUGAGAAGUAGAUCAUCAGGAAUAAACACGUCCUCUUUCUUUGACAUAAGGAUAGUUCCGUCCGUGCAAACUGGAACCUUGACAAAAGCAGGAAGAAGCUUUUGUUGGAAUUGAUCUACGGCUGAAACAAAGCGUGAGAGAAAAGGGGGAGCCUUUUGACCCCCAGACGUGUAAUGAUCGGAAGCACACCACACAUCCACACGUUUGGUUUUGGUCCCAUGUUCCCAGCACACAUAUAUAUAAGGAAAAGGGGGAUUUUCAUUAUGGAAACGGAAUCACGAUCUAAACCCACCUAACUGCUAAUCCUGAAGAUGUGUUGAGGUACUUGAAGGCACCACUGGACACCCUAAGGCUGUGCCGACGGCCCCCUGCACGUCCAUCUCCCUGCUGCCCCUUCUUCCCCGGCCAUCUCUUCACUGCCGGUGACCCCAAGGUGCAGCCAUGGGCUACCUCCACGGUCUCAACCAAGUCCGGUUAGUAUCUAUUUUUCACAUCAUGCAUUAGAUCAGUGGCGGAGCUAUGUUGGUUGCUGGGGGGCUGUGGCCCCCUCAACAUUGAACCAACUUGUGAAGGAAAAAAUAUUAUGAUGGCUUAGAUGAAAACUUUGUUAGCUUUNNNNNNNNNNNNNNNNNNNNNNNNNNNNNNNNNNNNNNNNNNNNNNNNNNNNNNNNNNNNNNNNNNNNNNNNNNNNNNNNNNNNNNNNNNNNNNNNNNNNNNNNNNNNNNNNNNNNNNNNNNNNNNNNNNNNNNNNNNNNNNNNNNNNNNNNNNNNNNNNNNNNNNNNNNNNNNNNNNNNNNNNNNNNNNNNNNNNNNNNNNNNNNNNNNNNNNNNNNNNNNNNNNNNNNNNNNNNNNNNNNNNNNNNNNNNNNNNNNNNNNNNNNNNNNNNNNNNNNNNNNNNNNNNNNNNNNNNNNCUGAUUCUGUCCAGCUCCGCCACUGCAUUAGGUGAUCUAAAUGCUAGGCUUAAGAUCCUGUCACAUUUAUCCUUUAAGAUUGUUUCUAACAAUGGUAUCAUGAGCAUGUUUAUGCCUAGAUUAGAUCCCUACUGACCUUCUGUUUACGUUAAUGGUAAUGGUUAAGUCAUAAUGAUUUCAGAUUAAGAUCCAUGGUUAAUGCCUAUAGAUUAAUGCGCUCUGCUAAGUCAAUGAUAUAUGUUCAGGUUAAUUGGUUCCGGUCAAGGCCAAUUGCUAUGGGUUAAUGCUAUUAGACAGAACGUCCAAUAUAUUCUGUUAGAUUAAUUGAGCCAAGCUUCCGCAUCAAGUUAAUGAUACAAUUAGCACGUUACAAUCCCCGUUUAGCAAUUAGGAGGUGAUUUGACAAACUAAUGAAAAUCCCCAAAGUUCCAAAUUCACCAAAACCCUACCCUAGAAAUUUUCCCAAUUUGCAAAUCCAAAGCGCCAAAUGUUGAAAUUGAAGAAAAGAGGGACUGGUACUGUUGUUAAUGGCGGCCGCAGUGCGUGCUCGUCAUGGCCGGAACGACGCCGUCCUUCGGGACGACAACCAGUGUGAAGCGCGCCGCCGCUCGCCGCUCUAAUGGACGCGCACGUCGGCAGGGUUCCGCGCCUUGCACGUCGCCGUCGCAUCCAAAAGAUUGCGCCGGCAGUUGCGCUCGUCUCCCCAUCGUCGCUGUCUGGGCCAUAUUGCGUCCCGAGUGGCCACGCUCGGCAGAGGAGCGCGCGGCACUCCGUCCGCUGCGGACCCCCGUUUUGUUCCGCUGGGGCUCGAUCUGGUCCGUCAAUCCGAUCGGACGGGUGACAGCGACAAGUGGCAAAUAAUGGGCCUCAGUUUGUUAAAUGGGCCAAAUCUGGCAGUGGGCAGGUUGGUACCUCCUAUCUGCCACAUUCUGCGGCAGACUUGCAGGCGAGAGCUCCUAUGCGCCGCUCGUUGCGGCGAAUUGUCGAGCGGACGCACAGGCGUGUCUCCAGCUGGGCCAGCCCAUUAGCGCAACGCGAUGAAUAAAUCCCAAAAUACUCCGCUCGAGCGAGGAAUUGAACCAGGGACCUCCAUCUUUGUACGCACGAGCCUAGCCAACGCCAUAGACAAGCUUUCUUGGUUUGCCAUGGCACGCGAAGCUAACAGAUAAUGUAGAUCGGAACAUUUUCUCAAAUUCCUAACGCGAAAAUUAUUUUGAAAAAGUGUUUUUUUAAAAGUGAACACUCUCCAAAUUUUAGAAGAAAAACUAAAAAUCUUGAACAAAGUUUUGAUAAAAUGAACACUUUUUAAAAUCCCGAACAUUUUUUGAAUUUAGAGAACAAAAUUUGAACAUGAACAUUUUUUAAAGCACAAACUUUUUUUAAUCUUGAGAACAAAUUUUGAAACCGAGAACAAAUUUGGAAGCGCGGAUUGUUUUUUAAGGCAUGAAUAUGUUUUUUGAAUCUUGAGAACAAAUUUGGAAGCACGAACAAUUUCUUAAAGCACAAAGAUUUUUUUUAAUAUUGAGAACAAAUUUUGAAACGGAGAACCAAAUUGAAAAAUUAAGAACAAAUUUGGAAGCGUGAACAUUUUUUGAAAAUGGGAACAAAAAAAUUAAAGUCUAGUACAUUAUAUUAAUUUCGAAAGUUUUAAACUUUUUUGUAACAAGAACAAUUUUUUGAAUUUUGAGAACAUUUUUAGAAAAACUGAACAUUUUAUGGAAAGGCAACCAAAAUUUGAAUAUUUUGAAAAAAAAUAGAGAGAAAAGAAAAAGAAAAAGGAAAGGAAAUAAGAGACCAAAGAAAGAAAACAAAUAGAAAAAACGAAAAAAGAAGAAAUGAAAAAAGAAACAGAAAGGAAUUUGAAAAUCCGAAGAACAAAAAGGAAAUAGAAAGAGAAGAAAAAGGAAUUGAAAAAUGAAAUAAAGAAACAGAAAAACAACAACAACAACAACAACAACAACAACAACAACAACAACAAAGUCUUUAGUCCCAAACAAGUUGGGGUAGGCUAGAGAUGAAACCCAUAAGAUCUCGCAACCAACUCAUGGCUCUGGCACAUGGAUAGCAAGCUUCCACGCACCCCUGUCCAUAGCUAGCUCUUUGUCGAUACUCAAAUCCUUCAGGUCUCUCUUAACGGACAAAGAAACAGAAAAACAAAGAAAGAAAAAAUAAACAAAAAAAGAAAGAAAAACCAGUGAAAAACUGGUUCAAGAACCUUCUGGAAGGUUCUCAAAACCGGUCAGGAACCUUCCAGAAAAUACCCAAAACCAGAUACUAUAGCGUGUGUACUAUCUCGUAGUUGGGCCGGCCCAUCUUGAUAGCUAGGUCGCUCGCCUCUGUGGGUUCGCUCGACUUUCUGCCGCAAUGAUCGUCCGUUAGGAUAUUCCCUUAAGGGGGAGUUCCUAUGGAUCGCAUUCUGCGCUGCUUGAAAGCAUAUGACGCUAACCAGUUGACCUACUGACAUUUGUUCAUUACAAUACACCGUUCCAUUAAAAAAUUCAAACCCAAAACUUGUUUUUUCAAAAAAAAAUGUGAAUGUUUUAUCAAACGGGAACAUUUUUUCAAUUUUUUAAGAAUUUUGAGAAAACUUAAACAUUUUUGAACACGCAAAAUAAUUUUCGAGAAGCGGACAUUUUCAAAAUGGAACAUGUUUUAAACUACCCAAAAAACUGAACAGGAUUUGUUUUUCAAAAAUAGGAACAUUUUUCAAAUUCCAAAACAAAAUUUGGAAACGCAAAUAAAUUUUGAACACGUACAAAUUUUUAAUUUCCCAAACAUUUUUUUGAAAACAUGAAGGUUUUGGAAUAAUUUUUUAAAGCACGAACAUUUUUUUAAUCUUGAGAACAAAUUUUUAAACGGAGAACAAAUUUUGAAGCGCGGACAAAUUUUUAAAACACUAACAUUUUUUGAAUUUUAAGAACAAAUUUUCAAAUGGAGAACAAUUUAAAAAAAUCCCGAACAAAUUUGGAUGCGUGAUUUUUUUAAUAUGUGAACAAAAAAUUGAAAUCCGGUACAUUUUCUGAAUUUAGAAAGUUGUGAACUUUUUUGUGUAAUGACAGCAAUUUUUUGAAAACUGAACAUUUUUCUAAAACAUGGACGUUUUGGAAUUUGUGAACAAUUUUUUAAAGCACAAACAUUUUUCGAAUCUUGAGAACAAAUUCCAAAAAGGAGAACAAAUUUUGAAGCGUGAACAAAAUUUUAAUGCACGAACAUUUUUUGAAUCUUGAGAACAAAUUUUGAAAUGGAGAACAAUUUUGGAAAAUCCCUAACAAAUUUGGAAGCAUGAUUUUUUUUGGAAUACACGAACAAAAAUUUGAAAUCUAGUACAUUUUCUGAAUUUCAAAAGUUGCUGAACUUUUUUCUGUAAUGAGAACAUUUUUUCAAAAACUGAACAUUUUGUUGGAAACAUGAAUAAAACUUGAAUAUUUUGAAAAAAGUUUGAAAAAAAGAGAAGGGAAGCAAAAGAAACAAAAACCAAAGAAAAAAUUGUUGAGAAGAGAAAUUAACUUGAAAAGGAAAACUGGAAGAAAACAAAAAAAGUAACGAAAAGAAAAGGAAAAAGAACCAGAAAAAGGAAGAAGAAAAACAAAUAGAAAGGCUAAAAAAGAAAAAUAAAAGGAAAAAUAAAAAACCGGUUCAGGAACCUUUUAGAUAGUUCCCAAAACCAGUAACAACCGGCUGGGAACGCUCUAGAAGGUUCCCGAAACCAGAACCUGUAAGUACGUUAAAGAUGGGCCGGCUCAAAUCGCUCGCUAGUGGGCAUCCCUUGUGCGAUUCGUCGACAGUUUGACGCAAUAUGCGUCAAAUAGGAUUUUCCGACUGGCGGCGCUUUGCACAAGGGUGCCAAACUAACGGCCCGCCUAGGCAAUGAACCCCGUGAUGCGAACAAAAAGGAAGAACGACGCGCCCUAGGUUCGAAAUCUUCGUUAGCGUACUCAACCAGUGGACCUGAUGCCUUUCGUGAACGGUAAGCAGCGCCAACAUUUAAGUAGUGACACCAACACUGAGUGACACUCGCGUGUAAAAAUUCCUAAAAGUGUUGGUCCAGCAGGGAUUCGAACUCGGCCCCUCCUGAUAGUAAACAGUGGUACAUAAGCAUUGAAACACGUAUUUUUGGUCUCUAAAAUUGCAGCAUGGCUUAUAAGAAAUGCUAGGGCACACAACAUUUAGAGUACUCUGAAAAUUUUCCUUUGUUUUUACGUUUCACUAUUAGCCUUUGUUUUUAAGUUUCAGUAAGUCCAACAAUGUUUCUGUUAAUUUCUUCUUUGAAUAAAUGUAUUACUGAUCGAGUGUUUCAGAACUUUAGAACACUUGUUUGUCCUGUAAUUUCAAACACAACAGAUCAUGUUUAAUUAACCACCAUAUCAGCAAAUUGUGCUUCAUAGACAAACAUUAUAGACUAUCAAGAUGAAUGUAGCAUCGCCAUUACCUGUUUAGGCAGACCAUUUCAACCAUGGAUUGUGGUUGCAAUUAUUUGACAAGCUUCAGCGCUAGAAUCUGCAACCACAUCUGGCUCAUUGUCCUGGAAAUGAAGAAUUGAGUCACUUUAUUAUCUGUGAAACAAGAUACAGAAUUGAUCAACAAUUAUCCUUAGGCUUGCUGUGAACAUGCAUGAGCUAUAACACAGCAGUCCCCCACUUAAGCAGCAAGGAGUAGAGCAAACAAUCUUGAACAUCAUGUCAAUAAACUGAAAAUGUUCAAGGUACUGCAGUAAACUGAAUCAAUGUCGUUUUAUCAAUGUUGUUUCAAGCAGACAAAGGAGUUUCAAGUAAACUGAAAAUGUUCAAGGUAAUGCAGUAAACUGAAUCAACAACAACUACUCCCAACUCUAAAUUUUGACAGUAAGAAUAAGAAAGAAAAUUCAGUGAGUAAAUAAGAUUGCAGAAUAAGAAUAAGAACAGGGGCUUGAGGAUGUUCCAAUUAUUUAAGUGAAGAACUGCGAAUUUGUUAUGGUAGAUACUCCCAACUCUGAAUUAUGGGCAGAAUCAUGAGAUGACGAGAAAGGUUAUAGAGGGGCAGAAUCAUUGGCAUCAGAAGAAAAAUAAAUCGAGGGGCAGUUUUGUACAGGCUAUAGAGGUUAAUGAUAGCUGUGGUGUUACCGACAAAAUUACUGAAGUGUAACGAAUCUUGCUAAUAAUCCUUAGCAAGACAAUAAUCUUUAGCACUUGAAAACUCUUUGCAGAAAACAAAAAUUAUCUUGGAAAGUGUCCACGGAAUUUCAGUCGGAGCCAUCUCCUUUUCAAAAACAUCAUGAAUCCAAAAUCUAGGAGACAGAUUUUAGAGAAUUGCUAAUAUUCCUGGGACAGUAGCAGCAUGGGCUAAUCUAAGCUUUAUUUCACACUUAACUGCCUGAUGUGACUGCACGAGGCACUGUUGUUGCAUUUUAUCACUAGGCAAAUGUUCUCUGCAAACAUCAUUCAUUCUUCUGGUUUUUCUCUGCAGGAGCAACAUAAAAGAGGCGAAGACGCCGAAGAACCAAAGAUAUCGGUAGCCAAAGCCUUCAAAGCGCAGGGAGAGGUAGCUUUAGAAGAUCACUACUGCUUUCUUUCAGGAGAGAUGGAAAUGUUGCUGUCGCUGUACCAACCGUUAGCUUAGACAACAGUAAGGCGUAAGCAAGCCCUGCACUGGGAUGAUGAUUUGCUUGGCCAUCUUAUGGGGAAAGUAUAUACAGGGAGAAGCUCUUAAACUUUGUUGCUUGUAAGUAAGCCACAUUUCGAUAGCAAAUCAUUGAUCAGGAAAUAUCAACCUACUCCUAAAAUUCUGAACUUUGGAGUAAAAAGUUACAGUAAUGAACAUGUUACAGUAAUGGACAAAGACUGAACCUGCAAUCCCAAAAUGUUGUCCCUUUCAUUGAUUCUGGAGAAAAAAGGAAGCGAUUGCAGCUUCACCUGGGCACGACUCGUGCACGGGCGGAAGCUCCGGCCGCCGGCAGCCGCGGG
rnacentral:lncRNA from 1 species